CCCAGUUCGGAUUGCAGGCUGCAACCCGCCUGCAUGAAGCUGGAAUCGCUAGUAAUCGCGGAUCAGAAUGCCGCGGUGAAUACGUUCCCGGGUCUUGUACACACCGCCCGUCACACCAUGGGAGUCGGUAACGCCCGAAGUCAGUGACCCAACCGGAAGGAGGGAGCUGCCGAAGGCGGGACUGGUAACUGGGGUGAAGUCGUAACAAGGUAAC
rnacentral:rRNA from 1 species